rnacentral:rRNA from 1 species
AACCGGCGAUACCCGAAUGGGGAAACCCAGUGUGAUUCGUCACACUAUCAUUAACUGAAUCCAUAGGUUAAUGAGGCGAACCGGGGGAACUGAAACAUCUAAGUACCCCGAGGAAAAGAAAUCAACCGAGAUUCCCCCAGUAGCGGCGAGCGAACGGGGAGGAGCCCAGAGCCUGAAUCAGCAUGUGUGUUAGUGGAAGCGUCUGGAAAGGCGCGCGAUACAGGGUGACAGCCCCGUACACAAAAGCGCAUGUGCUGUGAGCUCGAUGAGUAGGGCGGGACACGUGGUAUCCUGUCUGAAUAUGGGGGGACCAUCCUCCAAGGCUAAAUACUCCUGACUGACCGAUAGUGAACCAGUACCGUGAGGGAAAGGCGAAAAGAACCCCGGCGAGGGGAGUGAAAAAGAACCUGAAACCGUGUACGUACAAGCAGUGGGAGCACAGGUUUACCUGUGUGAC